rnacentral:rRNA from 1 species
UACGAAGGGUGCAAGCGUUAUCCGGAAUCACUGGGCGUAAAGGGCGUCUAGGCGGUCCAGUAAGUCCUGCGUGAAAGCUCCCGGCUCAACUGGGAGAGCGCGUGGGAGACUGUUGGGCUAGAGACUCGGAGAGGGGUGUGGAAUUCCCGGUGGAGUGGUGAAAUGCGUUGAGAUCGGGAGGAACACCAGUGGCGAAGGCGGCACCCUGGCCGAGUUCUGACGCUGAAGCGCGACAGCGUGGGGAGCAAACGGG